rnacentral:rRNA from 1 species
AGCGUACACGGUGGAUGCCCUGGCAGUCAGAGGCGAUGAAGGACGUGCUAAUCUGCGAAAAGCGCCGGCGAGGUGAUAUGAACCUUUGACCCGGCGAUGUCCGAAUGGGGAAACCCAGUGUGAUUCGUCACACUAUCGUUAACUGAAUACAUAGGUUAACGAGGCGAACCGGGGGAACUGAAACAUCUAAGUACCCCGAGGAAAAGAAAUCAACCGAGAUUCCCCCAGUAGCGGCGAGCGAACGGGGAGCAGCCCAGAGUCUGAAUCAGCUUGUGUGUUAGUGGAAGCGUCUGGAAAGUCGCACGGUACAGGGUGACAGUCCCGUACACGAAAAUGCACAGGUUGUGAACUCGAAGAGUAGGGCGGGACACGUGGUAUCCUGUCUGAAUAUGGGGGGACCAUCCUCCAAGGCUAAAUACUCCUGACUGACCGAUAGUGAACCAGUACCGUGAGGGAAAGGCGAAAAGAACCCCGGCGAGGGGAGUGAAAAAGAACCUGAAACCGUGUACGUACAAGCAGUGGGAGCACCUUCGUGGUGUGACUGCGUACCUUUUGUAUAAUGGGUCAGCGACUUAUAUUCUGUAGCAAGGUUAACCGUAUAGGGGAGCCGAAGGGAAACCGAGUCUUAACUGGGCGUUAAGUUGCAGGGUAUAGACCCGAAACCCGGUGAUCUAGCCAUGGGCAGGUUGAAGGUUGGGUAACACUAACUGGAGGACCGAACCGACUAAUGUUGAAAAAUUAGCGGAUGACUUGUGGCUGGGGGUGAAAGGCCAAUCAAACCGGGAGAUAGCUGGUUCUCCCCGAAAGCUAUUUAGGUAGCGCCUCGUGAACUCAUCUUCGGGGGUAGAGCACUGUUUCGGCUAGGGGGCCAUCCCGGCUUACCAACCCGAUGCAAACUACGAAUACCGAAGAAUGUUAUCACGGGAGACACACGGCGGGUGCUAACGUCCGUCGUGAAGAGGGAAACAACCCAGACCGCCAGCUAAGGUCCCAAAGUCAUGGUUAAGUGGGAAACGAUGUGGGAAGGCACAGACAGCCAGGAUGUUGGCUUAGAAGCAGCCAUCAUUUAAAGAAAGCGUAAUAGCUCACUGGUCGAGUCGGCCUGCGCGGAAGAUGUAACGGGGCUAAACCAUGCACCGAAGCUGCGGCAGCGACACUAUGUGUUGUUGGGUAGGGGAGCGUUCUGUAAGCCGUUGAAGGUGUGCUGUGAGGCAUGCUGGAGGUAUCAGAAGUGCGAAUGCUGACAUAAGUAACGAUAAAGCGGGUGAAAAGCCCGCUCGCCGGAAGACCAAGGGUUCCUGUCCAACGUUAAUCGGGGCAGGGUGAGUCGACCCCUAAGGCGAGGCCGAAAGGCGUAGUCGAUGGGAAACAGGUUAAUAUUCCUGUACUUGGUGUUACUGCGAAGGGGGGACGGAGAAGGCUAUGUUAGCCGGGCGACGGUUGUCCCGGUUUAAGCAUGUAGGCGGAGGUUCCAGGUAAAUCCGGUACCUUUUAACGCUGAGGUGUGAUGACGAGGCACUACGGUGCUGAAGUAACAAAUGCCCUGCUUCCAGGAAAAGCCUCUAAGCAUCAGGUAACAUCAAAUCGUACCCCAAACCGACACAGGUGGUCAGGUAGAGAAUACCAAGGCGCUUGAGAGAACUCGGGUGAAGGAACUAGGCAAAAUGGUGCCGUAACUUCGGGAGAAGGCACGCUGAUAUGUAGGUGAAGCCCCUGCGGGUGGAGCUGAAAUCAGUCGAAGAUACCAGCUGGCUGCAACUGUUUAUUAAAAACACAGCACUGUGCAAACACGAAAGUGGACGUAUACGGUGUGACGCCUGCCCGGUGCCGGAAGGUUAAUUGAUGGGGUUAGCGGCAACGCGAAGCUCUUGAUCGAAGCCCCGGUAAACGGCGGCCGUAACUAUAACGGUCCUAAGGUAGCGAAAUUCCUUGUCGGGUAAGUUCCGACCUGCACGAAUGGCGUAAUGAUGGCCAGGCUGUCUCCACCCGAGACUCAGUGAAAUUGAACUCGCUGUGAAGAUGCAGUGUACCCGCGGCAAGACGGAAAGACCCCGUGAACCUUUACUAUAGCUUGACACUGAACACUGGUCCUUGAUGUGUAGGAUAGGUGGGAGGCUUUGAAGCGUGGACGCCAGUCUGCGUGGAGCCGUCCUUGAAAUACCACCCUUUAAUGGCUGGUGUUCUAACGUAGACCCGUAAUCCGGGUUGCGGACAGUGUCUGGUGGGUAGUUUGACUGGGGCGGUCUCCUCCCAAAGAGUAACGGAGGAGCACGAAGGUUAGCUAAUCCUGGUCGGACAUCAGGAGGUUAGUGCAAUGGCAUAAGCUAGCUUGACUGCGAGAGUGACGGCUCGAGCAGGUGCGAAAGCAGGUCAUAGUGAUCCGGUGGUUCUGAAUGGAAGGGCCAUCGCUCAACGGAUAAAAGGUACUCCGGGGAUAACAGGCUGAUACCGCCCAAGAGUUCAUAUCGACGGCGGUGUUUGGCACCUCGAUGUCGGCUCAUCACAUCCUGGGGCUGAAGUAGGUCCCAAGGGUAUGGCUGUUCGCCAUUUAAAGUGGUACGCGAGCUGGGUUUAGAACGUCGUGAGACAGUUCGGUCCCUAUCUGCCGUGGGCGCUGGAGAAUUGAGGGGGGCUGCUCCUAGUACGAGAGGACCGGAGUGGACGCAUCACUGGUGUUCGGGUUGUCAUGCCAAUGGCACUGCCCGGUAGCUAAAUGCGGAAAAGAUAAGUGCUGAAAGCAUCUAAGCACGAAACUUGCCCCGAGAUGAGUUCU